AAGGCUUUAAGUUAAUAAAACUAAUAACCUUCAAAGCUAUAAAUAUAAGAACAUAAUCUUUUAAGCCUUA
rnacentral:tRNA from 1 species